GGCCCUACAAAAGGGAACAAUGGUGCAGCUUGUCAGAUCUGCUGAACUUCCAGCAGAUCUGGAUGACCGAGUACAAGUCCAAGCCUUUCU
rnacentral:ribozyme from 1 species